GCCGGGCGCUGACUCGGCCGGGGCUGAGCUUCAACCUCGAACACUGGGGAAGAGUUUCUCCGACUGCAGCCGCGGACGUCAAGCCCCACUAGCGGUGUAAUUUCACUUUCUCUCUUCGUGUCCGCCUGGCGUCACCCUCUGUGGAAGCAAGCGACAGGGCUCUGACCACCAAUCAAGAUGGAGGAACGGGGGAAUCUGCUCCGACAAGUCCCCAGACCGCCUCGGGUCAGCACCCCAGUCCUAGUGAUCUCCAAGAUUAUCAUGAUUGCAUUGCCCAUUGCGCAGAUCGUCAUAGGCACCCUGUACCUGCACGACUGCCCCAGCCAGCGCUACAUCCCCAUCUACCUGCUGGUGACGGGGGUCUUCUCCGUUGUCCUCAGUCUGCUGUCCUGCCUGCCCUGCGCCAAGGAGGAGGAGGAGGGGGGCAGCAGCAGCAUGCUGAGCAGCCUGUGCACCACCUGGAACUCCCUGACGUCUCUUUUCCUGUUCUGCUGGUUCAUCGCAGGCAACGUCUGGAUCUAUUCCAUCUACCAGCCCAAUUACACGAGAGGAGAGCCCGACUUCUGCAACAAGACGCUGUACCUCUUCGCCUUCUGGGCCACCACGCUGGUCUACAUCUUCCUGGGGCUGUUCAUGGUGGGGGGGUGCAUUGUCAUGAUGAUAGUCUGCAUUUGCAGAGCAGUGGAGGCUUAG
rnacentral:lncRNA from 1 species